AGCGAACGCUGGCGGCAGGCUUAACACAUGCAAGUCGAGCGGGCACUUCGGUGUCAGCGGCAGACGGGUGAGUAACACGUGGGAACGUACCCUUCGGUUCGGAAUAACGCUGGGAAACUAGCGCUAAUACCGGAUACGCCCUUUUGGGGAAAGGUUUACUGCCGAAGGAUCGGCCCGCGUCUGAUUAGCUAGUUGGUGGGGUAAUGGCCUACCAAGGCGACGAUCAGUAGCUGGUCUGAGAGGAUGAUCAGCCACACUGGGACGGAGACACGGCCCGGACUCCUACGGGAGGCAGCCGUGGGGAAUAUUGGAAAAUGGGGGCAAGCCUGAUCCAGCCAUGCCGCGUGAGUGAUGAAGGCCUUAGGGUUGUAAAGCUCUUUUGUCCGGGACGAUAAUGACGGUACCGAAAGAAUAAGCCCCGGCUAACUUCGUG
rnacentral:rRNA from 1 species